rnacentral:rRNA from 1 species
CAGCAGCCGCGGGAACACGGAGGGUGCAAGCGUUGUCCGGAUUUACUGGGCGUAAAGCGUGCGUAGGCGGCUUCUUAAGUCGGAUGUGAAAUCCCUGAGCUUAACUUAGGAAUUGCAUUCGAUACUGGGAAGCUAGAGUAUGGGAGAGGAUGGUAGAAUUCCAGGUGUAGCGGUGAAAUGCGUAGAGAUCUGGAGGAAUACCGAUGGCGAAGGCAGCCAUCUGGCCUAAUACUGACGCUGAGGUACGAAAGCAUGGGGAGCAAACAGGAUUAGAUACCCCCGUAGUCCCUGUCUCUUAUAC